CUACGGACUUAAGUAAAAUUGAGCCUUGUUAGAGAAAUCUUGCAAGUGUAAGCUCUCAAAUUCAGGGAAACCUAAGUCUAGUUGCAUAGAUAGGGCAAUCCUGAGCCAAGCUAGGGCCGAAAGGGUUUAGAAGGUGCAGAGACUCGACGGGAGCUACCCUAACAGAUUAAGCUGAGGGUAAAGGGAGAGUCCAAUUCUCAAAGCUCAAAUUGUGC
rfam:Cyanothece sp. ATCC 51142 circular chromosome, complete sequence.